rfam:Clostridium sp. IEH 97212 scaffold_27, whole genome shotgun sequence.
CUAGAAAAAUAAUUAGAAUACUUUAUUUGUGACUAAUAUUUAAGCGUAAAGUAAACAGGAUGUUUACUUAGCUCUGUUGGCACAGGACGUGACAUUUGAGCGUUAGCUUAAAUAUUAGUACACAAAUAUUAGUAUUCUUUAUUUUUAUAGCCA